UACGUAGGGUGCGAGCGUUGUCCGGAAUUAUUGGGCGUAAAGAGCUCGUAGGCGGUCUGUCGCGUCGAUCGUGAAAACUUGGGGCUUAACCCUGAGCUUGCGGUCGAUACGGGCAGACUAGAGUUCGGUAGGGGAGUCUGGAAUUCCUGGUGUAGCGGUGAAAUGCGCAGAUAUCAGGAGGAACACCGGUGGCGAAGGCGGGACUCUGGGCCGAUACUGGCGCUGAGGAGCGAAAGCGUGGGGAGCAAACAGG
rnacentral:rRNA from 1 species